GACGAACGCUGGCGGCGUGCUUAACACAUGCAAGUCGAACGAUGAAGCUAGAGCUUGCUCUGGUGAAUUAGUGGCGAACGGGUGAGUAACACGUGAGUAACCUGCCCCGAACUCUGGGAUAACUGCUGGAAACGGUAGCUAAUACUGGCUACGACCUACGAAGGCAUCCUCUGUAGGUGGAAAGAAUUUCGGUUCGGGAUGGACUCGCGGCCUAUCAGCUUGUUGGUGAGGUAAUGGCUCACCAAGGCGACGACGGGUAGCCGGCCUGGGAGGGUGAUCGGCCACACUGGGACUGAGACACGGCCCAGACUCCUACGGGAGGCAGCAGUGGGGAAUAUUGCACAAUGGGCGCAAGCCUGAUGCAGCAACGCCGCGUGAGGGAUGACGGCCUUCGGGUUGUAAACCUCUUUUAGUAGGGAAGAAGCGAAAGUGACGGUACCUGCAGAAAAAGCACCGGCUAACUACGUGCCAGCCGCCGCGGUAAAAC
rnacentral:rRNA from 1 species